GACGAACGCUGGCGGCGUGCCUAAUACAUGCAAGUCGAGCGGACGGAUGGGAGCUUGCUCUCAGACCGUCAGCGGCGGACGGGUGAGUAACACGUGGGCAACCUGCCUGUAAGACUGGGAUAACUCCGGGAAACCGGGGCUAAUACCGGCUAACUCUUUCCAUCACAUGAGGGAAAGCUGAAAGAUGGCAUCUCGCUAUCACUUACAGUUGGGCCCGCGGCGCAUUAGCUAGUUGGUGAGGUAACGGCUCACCAAGGCGACGAUGCGUAGCCGACCUGAGAGGGUGAUCGGCCACACUGGGACUGAGACACGGCCCAGACUCCUACGGGAGGCAGCAGUAGGGAAUCUUCCGCAAUGGACGAAAGUCUGACGGAGCAACGCCGCGUGAAUGAUGAAGGUUUUCGGAUCGUAAAACUCUGUUGUCAGGGAAGAACAAGUACCGGAGUAACUGCCGGGACCUUGACGGUACCUGACCAAAAAGCCACGGCUAACUACGUG
rnacentral:rRNA from 1 species